UACGUAGGGUGCAAGCGUUGUCCGGAAUUAUUGGGCGUAAAGAGCUCGUAGGCGGUCUGUUACGUCGGCUGUGAAAACCUGGGGCUCAACCCCGGGCCGGCAGCCGAUACGGGCAGACUAGAAUUCGGUAGGGGAGACUGGAAUCCCUGGUGUAGCGGUGAAAUGCGCAGAUAUCAGGAGGAACACCGGUGGCGAAGGCGGGUCUCUGGGCCGAUAUUGACGCUGAGGAGCGAAAGCGUGGGGAGCGAACAGG
rnacentral:rRNA from 1 species